rnacentral:rRNA from 1 species
GACGAACCGUGCGAACGUUAUUCGGAAUCACUGGGCUUAAAGGGUGCGUAGGCGGGUUGCCAAGUCUGUGGUGAAAUCCUCCGGCUUAACCGGAGAACUGCCGUGGAUACUGGCGACCUCGAGGGGGAUAGGGGCUUGCGGAACUGUGCGUGGAGCGGUGAAAUGCGUUGAUAUGCACAGGAACUCCGGUGGCGAAGGCGGCGAGCUGGAUCCCUUCUGACGCUGAGGCACGAAAGCUAGGGGAGCGAACGGG